rnacentral:lncRNA from 1 species
UCGUAAGGAUCAAAAGAUAUUGACUGAAGUCAAUUAUAAGGCUCUUGAAGCCACAAAAACCACGAUAUCACAUAAGUGGUACCAAAAUGCAUCGAAAACCAUGUCAAUCAUCCUCACACCCCAUAAAUACCAUAACACAACCACUGGGAUGGGUAAAAUGGUAAAAUCACACAGAAACACAUUUCACAUAUUUCAUCAAAAUUCAAACUAUUACAUCAUCCUCCACUAAAGAUCUAGUUCGCCCUCGAACUAAAGACAAGAGAAAUACCC